rnacentral:rRNA from 1 species
AUUGAACGCUGGCGGCAUGCCUUACACAUGCAAGUCGAACGGUAACGGGCCUUCGGGUGCCGACGAGUGGCGAACGGGUGAGUAAUGCAUCGGAACGUACCUUUCAGUGGGGGAUAACGUAGCGAAAGUUACGCUAAUACCGCAUAUUCUGUGAGCAGGAAAGCAGGGGAUCGCAAGACCUUGCGCUGAUUGAGCGGCCGAUGUCAGAUUAGCUAGUUGGUGAGGUAAAGGCUCACCAAGGCGACGAUCUGUAGCGGGUCUGAGAGGAUGAUCCGCCACACUGGAACUGAGACACGGUCCAGACUCCUACGGGAGGCAGCAGUGGGGAAUUUUGGACAAUGGGGGCAACCCUGAUCCAGCCAUGCCGCGUGAGUGAAGAAGGCCUCGGUUGUAAGACUCUUUUCGGUCCCGGGAAGGAAAGUACGCAUGGGUUAA